rnacentral:rRNA from 1 species
GUUGUAUGGUUAAGUGACUAAGCGUACACGGUGGAUGCCUUGGCAGUCAGAGGCGAUGAAAGACGUAGUAACUUGCGAUAAGCCCAGAUUAGGUAGUAACAACCAUUUGAGUCUGGGAUUUCUGAAUGGGGAAACCCACGUGCAUAAGCACGUAUCCUUACCUGAAUACAUAGGGUAAGGAGGCGAACCGGGGGAACUGAAACAUCUAAGUACCCCGAGGAAAAGAAAUCAACCGAGAUUCCGAAAGUAGCGGCGAGCGAAAUUGGACUAGCCCUUAAGCUUUACACGCGUUAGACGAACGGUCUGGAAAGUCCGACGAUACAGGGUGAUAGUCCCGUAGUUGACGACGUGUGUUCAGUGAAAUCGAGUAGGGCGGGACACGUGAUAUCCUGUCUGAAUAUGGGGGGACCAUCCUCCAAGGCUAAAUACUACUGACUGACCGAUAGUGAACCAGUACCGUGAGGGAAAGGCGAAAAGAACCCCUGUGAGGGGAGUGAAAUAGAACCUGAAACCGUGUACGUACAAGCAGUAGGAGCACCUUCGUGGUGUGACUGCGUACCUUUUGUAUAAUGGGUCAGCGACUUAUAUUCAGUGGCAAGGUUAACCAUCUAGGGGAGCCGUAGGGAAACCGAGUCUUAACUGGGCGUUCAGUCUCUGGAUAUAGACCCGAAACCAGGUGAUCUAGCCAUGGGCAGGUUGAAGGUUGAGUAACAUCAACUGGAGGACCGAACCGACUAAUGUUGAAAAAUUAGCGGAUGACUUGUGGCUAGGGGUGAAAGGCCAAUCAAACCUGGAGAUAGCUGGUUCUCCCCGAAAGCUAUUUAGGUAGCGCCUCGGACGAAUACUACUGGGGGUAGAGCACUGUUAAGGCUAGGGGGUCAUCCCGACUUACCAACCCUUUGCAAACUCCGAAUACCAGUAAGUACUAUCCGGGAGACACACGGCGGGUGCUAACGUCCGUCGUGGAGAGGGAAACAACCCAGACCGCCAGCUAAGGUCCCAAAUUACUACUAAGUGGGAAACGAUGUGGGAAGGCUCAGACAGCCAGGAUGUUGGCUUAGAAGCAGCCAUCAUUUAAAGAAAGCGUAAUAGCUCACUGGUCGAGUCGGCCUGCGCGGAAGAUGUAACGGGGCUAAGUA